rnacentral:tRNA from 1 species
CAGGAAAUAGUUUAUUGAAAAAUUUUAAUUUUGGAGAUUAAAGAAAAAUAGAAUUAUUUUUUUCUGA